rnacentral:rRNA from 1 species
GAUGAACGCUAGCGGCAGGCCUAAUACAUGCAAGUCGAACGGUAAGGCCCUUUCGGGGGUACAUGAGUGGCGGACGGGUGCGUAACGCGUAUGCAACAUACCUUCAAGCGGGGGAUAUGCCAGGGAAACUUGGUGCAACACCCCAUAGCAUUUCGGGACCGCAUGGUCUUGGGAUUAAAUAUUUAUAGCUUGGAGAUUGGCAUGCGUGACAUUAGCUAGUUGGCGGGGUAACGGCCCACCAAGGCGACGAUGUCUAGCUGGUCUGAGAGGAUGAUCAGCCACACUGGGACUGAGACACGGCCCAGACUCCUACGGGAGGCAGCAGUAGGGAAUAUUGGACAAUGGGGGGAACCCUGAUCCAGCCAUGCCGCGUGAGGGAAGAAGGUCCUCUGGAUUGUAAACCUCUUUUUGGCGGGGGACAAACCUGCACUAUACGUGCAGCUGAGGGUACCCGCAGAAUAAGCACCGGCUAACUCCGUGCCAGCAGCCGCGGUAAAGU